rnacentral:rRNA from 1 species
AAAAGAAACAACAGGGAUUGCCCUAGUAACGGCGAGUGAAGCGGCAACAGCUCAAAAUUAAAACCUGCCUUUGGCCGGAUUGUAAUUAGUAGAGGAUGCAUCGGAUGCGGCCCUGUUCCAAGUCCACUGGAAAGCGGCGCCAUAGAGGGUGAGAGUCCCGUUGGAACAGUGUCUGCUUCCAUGUGAUGCUCCUUCGACGAGUCGAGUUGUUUGGGAAUGCAGCUCUAAAUGGGUGGUAUAUUUCAUCUAAAGCUAAAUAUUGGCCAGAGACCGAUAGCGCACAAGUAGAGUGAUCGAAAGAUGAAAAGCACUUUGGAAAGAGAGUUAAACAGUACGUGAAAUUGUUGAAAGGGAAGCGCUUACAGCCAGACUCGCUUGGGGUGCUCAGCCGUCUUUGGCGGUGUACUCGCCCCCUAGCGGGCCAACAUCAGUUCGAGCGGCCGGAUAAAGACCUUGGGAAUGUGAUACUCUACGGGGUAUGUUAUAGCCCGAGGUGUAAUGCGGUCAGCUUGGACUGAGGACCGCGCUUCGGCAAGGAUGUUGGCGUAAUGGCUGUCAGCGACCCGUCUUGAAACACGGAUCAAGGAGUCGACGUUACGGUGCGAGUGUUUGGGCGUUAAACCCACACGCGUAAUGAAAGUGAACGGAGGUCAGAGCCUUUUAGGUGCAUGAUCGACCGAUCUUGAUGUCUUCGGAUGGAUUUGAGUAAGAGCAUCGUGCGUCGGACCCGAAAGAUGGUGAGCUUUACGUGGUUAGGGUGAAGCCAGAGGAAACUCUGGUGGAAGCUCGAAGGGGUUCUGACGUGCAAAUCGAUCUUAAAAACUGCGUAAAGGGGCGAAAGACUUAUCGAACCAUCACUAGGUGGUUAAGUGUAUUAGCCAGUAAUGGCAAUACCGCCAAAUGCGUGGAUGACACGCAGCGGGGAUGAUUAUUAACCCGUGCACAGACUAAACGGCGGUGGCUCUUAAUUCCGGCUAGUCGACGUCUUAAAAAGACGACAAAUCCGCCGCGAUGGCGGAUAGACAAACCUGAGAGCUCUAAUAUAGUCGGUUCUCGUUGAAAAGCGAAGAAGAAAUGCUAGUAGCUGGUUCCUGCCGAAGUUUCCCUCAGGAUAGCAGUGACGUUUUCAGUUUUAUGAGGUAAAGCGAAUGAUUAGUGGCUCGGGGGCUAUUUUUUGCCUUCACCAAUUCUCAAACUUUAAAUAUGUAAGACGCCCUUGUUACUUAAUUGAACGUGGGCUUUUGAAUU